rnacentral:rRNA from 1 species
GACGAACGCUGGCGGCGUGCCUAAUACAUGCAAGUCGAACGCACAGUUUAUACCGUAGCUUGCUACACCAUAGACUGUGAGUUGCGAACGGGUGAGUAACGCGUAGGUAACCUGCCUGGUAGCGGGGGAUAACUAUUGGAAACGAUAGCUAAUACCGCAUAAUAUUGAUUAUUGCAUGAUAAUUGAUUGAAAGAUGCUAUUGCAUCACUACCAGAUGGACCUGCGUUGUAUUAGCUAGUAGGUGAGGUAACGGCUCACCCAGGCGACGAUACAUAGCCGACCUGAGAGGGUGAGCGGCCACACAGGGAAUGAGACACGGCCCAGACUCCUACAGGAGGCAGCAGUAGGGAAUCUUCGGCAAUGGACGAAAGUCUGACCGAGCAACGCCGCGUGAGUGAAGAAGGUUUUCGGAUCGUAAAGCUCUGUUGUAAGAGAAGAACGGGUGUGAGAGUGGAAAGAUCACCCUGUGACGGUAUCUUACCAGAAAGGGACGGCUAACUACGUG